UACAGGGGGUGCAAACGUUGCUCGGAAUUAUUGGGCGUAAAGCGCGCGUAGGCGGCUACCUAAGUCGGAUGUGAAAGCCCCUGGCUUAACUGGGGAAGUGCACCCGAAACUGAGUAGCUAGAGUGCGAAAGAGGGUCGCGGAAUUCCCGGUGUAGAGGUGAAAUGCGUAGAUAUCUGGAGGAACACCGGUGGCGAAGGCGGCAUCCUGGACCGAUACUGACACUGAGGAGCGAAAGCCAGGGGAGCAAACGGG
rnacentral:rRNA from 1 species